UACACAGGGAAAUCUGCACUUGUUCUGGUC
rnacentral:piRNA from 1 species